CAAUUAUCUGUUAACUCCAAAUGAUUCUAAGUUAGAAUUUCUAACAGAUGUCGAUACCUUUCGACUGGGUUGAGUAAGUAAUCAAUAGAUGGCGCUGCUAUUGAAAUCAACGAACGUGUCAUAUAAGCUACAUUUUAACAGCAUAAUUAUCACUUAUUGUUGACGCUAUAAAAUUAAUUAAAUUCAGGCACAAGAAUAUCAAGAACAGUGUAUCGAACGUCUUCAAGAGAAUAUCAUGAGAACAUGAGCAGCAGGAGAACGAGACAUAGCCACAGUAGGAGUACAGGAACAAUAAUUUAAUUUAUACACUCAAAAAUGACACCGAGAAGAUCUAACCUCAACAACGCGCGCAGCAAAGGGUCACGACGCAAACGUGUUGAAAGAGCUCAGCAAAUACCAGAACAAAUCGAAACAAGAAAUGCAGCUCAAAGAAUCAGGACUGCAGAAAGUCGUGCACAAGAAUCUCAAGAACGGCGUGACGAACGUCUGCAACAGAAUAUUACGAGAACAAGAGCGGCACGAAAACGAAACAGCUACAGUACGAGUACUAGGUCGACAAAGGCAACGAAUCAGCCGCUCAUUAAAACGUGCAUCAUUCGUUCGGCUUGCCUUUGAAUAUGCACCAGAUAUUAACUACUCAGCGCAUUCAAAAAUUGCUAUCGGUGGAAUGGAUAAAGUAUGUCAAUAUUGUCAGGCAUUGAAAUUUCGGAAUGAAGCAGCCGGCAUGUGCUGCGCAUCAGGAAAAGAUGUACUGUCACCUCUACCCGCUCCGCCGGAGCCUUUAUUAUCCCUUCUUACUGGCAAUUCAGAUGAUUCCAAAUUAUUUUUGCGUAAGAUACGCAAAUUUAAUUCUUGCUUCCAAAUGACGUCAUUUGGGGCAACUAAAAUUUGCGAUCGUGCAUCCGAUGGACGUAAUUUUGAAACUACAUUCAAAAUUCAAGGCCAGGUGUACAAUAAAAUCGGAUCCUUGAUGCCAAUGCCUGAUAACAAUCCGAAAUUUCUUCAAAUUUAUUUUAUGGGCGAUCAUGAAGAGCGCGUGACGACUCGGUGCCUGUAUAAUUUUAUUGAACAAGCAGACGGAAGAGCAAUUGUGAUAUUAUUGGAAAAUUUUUUAGAAGAUCACAAUCAACUAAUUCAAUCAAAAGAGUUUCGCUACGACUGCAAAAUGACAAUUAUCAAAUCGUCAUAAAAGCCGACAAAGUACCAUUAGGUGAACAUCCUGGUAGAUUCAACGCUCCAACUGUUGAUGAGGUUGCUGUUAUCAUGGUUGGUGAUCCAGUUGACAAUACUGUCAGUACGAUUUCGGAUCUACACCGUUCAUAUGACGCACUACAGUAUCCAUUGAUAUUUUGGCAAGGACAAGAUGAAUAUCACCUUAAUAUCAAACAGUAUGAUCCAAAUACCGGUGAUUACAGUAAUAAAAAAGUUAGCUCAAUGAACUACUACGCACACCGAAUAAUGGUUAGACAACAUCAAGACAAUUAUAUCCUUCGAUAUCGUCAGCUGUUCCAUCAAUUUAUACAUAGUUGAUAUGUAUGCUAAGGUCGAAAGCGAACGCUUGCGAUUCCUUCGAUUCAACCAGGCAAAACUACGAUCGGAAGAAUAUAUUCACUUACGAGAUGCUGUUGCUGGAAACAUCGAUGGAAAUGUAAAUCUCAAUGACAUCGGUAAUGCUUUCAUUUUACCUUCAAGCUACAUCGGCAGUCCACGGAACAUGCAGGAAUACAUACAAGAUGCGAUGAAUUACGAACGUUAUUACGGCUUACCGGAUUUAUUUAUUACAUUCACAUGUAAUCCAAAUUGGGAAGAGAUACAAACUUUACUAUUGCCAGGUUAACAAGCCAUUCAUCGCCAUGAUUUAACUGCACGUGUGUUUAAACAAAAAUUGAAAUCAUUAAUUGAUUUUAUUGUUAAAUAUUCAAUUUUUGGUAUCACACGUUGUUGGCUGUAUACGAUAGAGUGGCAAAAGCGAGGUUUGCCUCAUGCCCACAUUUUGGUUUGGCUUAAAGAUAGAAUCCGUCCUGAAGAAAUCGAUCAAAUAAUUUCAGCCGAAAUUCCAGACCCAUUAAUUGAUCAAGAAUUAUUUGAUAUUGUCACCAAACACAUGAUCCAUGGGCCAUGCGGUGCUUUCAACAUGACGUCACCGUGCAUGAAAAAUGGAAAAUGUAAAAAAAACUUCCCAAAGCCGCAUACGAAUGACACGAUCACGGAUAUUGAUGGUUAUCCAAUGUAUCGCCGCAGAAGUACUGAGAAUGGUGGCCACACAUUUACAAUGCGACUGCCGAACUUUCCAAAUCAAUGUUGAGCUUUGCAGUUCUGUUAAAUCAAUUAAGUAUAUUUGUAAAUAUGUAAACAAAGGCAGUGAUUUGGCCAUAUUUGAAGUACAAAACAUAAAUAAAAAUGACGAAAUAGCACGAUACCAAAUGGGCAGAUAUAUUAGCAGCAAUGAAGCUAUUUGGCAUAUUCUCAGCUUUCCCAUCCACGAAAGAGAUCCUGAUGUCCAACAUCUGGCUAUACAUCUUGAAAACGGUCAACGUGUAUACUUCACUGAAUUAUAUUUCACAUGGAACAAAUCCAGUAAAAAAUGGGAGCCACGGAAACAAGGAAAACCACAUCCUUCCAUUACAGGCAUAUUCAAAGCUAAGACAUUGGGGAGACUUUACACGGUACAUCCAAAGCAACGUGAAUGCUUCUAUUUACGUUUGUUAUUGGUGAAUGUUCCCGGACCAACGUCUUUUGAAUUUUUGCGAACAGUUAAUGGUCGAGUAUUCAAUACAUACCAGGAUGCAUGUCGUGAACUGCAAUUGCUAGAAGACGAUAACCAUUGGGACUUAACGCUUGCCGAUGCUGCGUUGACAUCAACACCGAAUAACAUUCGUCAGUUGUUUGCAAUUAUUUUGACGACAUGUUAUCCCUCGCAAGCACAAACUUUGUGGGAAAAAUAUAAAAAUUGUAUGACAGAAGACAUCUGCACCGAAUGAGACAAACAAAUCAAUGCCAAAACAUAGAUUAUACACCAGAGAUGUACAAUGAAGCAUUGGUCUUUAUCGAGGAUUUAUGUGUUCUUAUUUCAAACUUACCGCUUAAUCAUUAUGGUAUGCCAUCACCUAAUCGUCCAGCCACCGACUUAGUCAAUACCGAUUUGCAACGAGAAAAGCAAUAUGACCAUGGAAGUUUAGCAACAAUUAUCAUGAACAGUGAACCAUUACUGACAGCAGAACAAAAAAUUAUUCAUGAUCGGAUUAUGCUGGCUGUUGCUGCUGAACAAGGCGGCUUUUUUUUCUUGGAUUCCAAAAUACGGUCGCAACAAAAAAUCGCAUUAGCAGUAGCAUCGUCAGGCAUUGCGGCUACUUUACUGGAUGGUGGGCGAACAGCACAUUCAACAUUCAAGCUGCCAUUGGACGUUCAUAAUAAACCAGAUGCAAUGUGUAACAUCAAAAAGAAUAGUGGAAUAGCUGCAGUGUUGCGGAAGAGUUCUAUAAUAAUUUGGGAUGAGUGCACAAUGGCACACAAAUAUUCACUUGAAGCAUUAAACAGAACUAUGCAAGAUUUAAACAGCAAUAAUAAACUGUUCGGUGGUGCUAUCUUACUUUUGUCUGGUGACUUCCGGCAGACCUUACCGGUUAUACCUCGCUCUACUUUCGCGGAUGAGAUUAAUGCAUGUUUGAAACAAUCAUUCUUAUGGCGAAGUGUUAAAACACUUCGAUUGACAAUAAAUAUGCGAGUACAAUUGCAAAAUUAUCAAUCAGCACAAAUAUUUUCCGAAUAACUACUAGAUAUUGGGAACGGUAAAAUAGAACUGCAACCAAAUACGCAAUGCAUUAAACUACCAGACAAUUUUUGCACUGUUGUUCAGGAUAAAAAUGAAUUGAUUCAGAGUAUUUUCCCGGAUAUACAUUAUAAUUAUUUGAAUCAUGAAUGGCUCAGUCAAAGGGCGAUUUUGGCAGCCAAAAACGUUGAUGUUGACGAAAUUAACUUCCAGAUACAACAGUUGUUACCAGGCGAUCAGAUGUCUUUUAAAUCAAUCGAUACUGUUGUUGAUGUAAAUGAAAGUGUUAAUUUUCCGAUCGAAUUUUUAAAUUCAUUAGAUAUCCCUGGAAUGCCACCACAUAAUCUUCGAUUAAAGAUUGGUUCCCCUAUUAUUCUCCUCCGUAAUUUGAAUCCACCUCAAUUAUGCAACGGUACGCGUUUGCUCAUCAAAAAGAUCACCGGAAACAUUCUUGAAGCAACCAUUUUGGCUGGGAAGUUUAAAGGAAAAGUGGUCCUGCUGCCACGUAUUUCGAUGAUACCAUCAGAUUCUACCAUACCCUUCAAAAGGCUACAGUUUCCAAUUCGUUUAGCUUUCGCCAUGUCUAUCAAAUCUCAAGGUCAAACAAUGUCCAUUUGUGGUUUAGAUUUGGAAAAUCCAUGUUUUUCUCAUGGGCAACUAUAUGUUGCGUGUUCACGUGUUGGAAAACCAUCGAAUCUAUUUGUUUUAGCUAAAGACAGGUUAACCAAAAACAUUGUGCACCGAUUGGUGUUAAAUUAAAUUGAAAUUGAAAGUAUUUAUAUUUUAAAAAAUAGAUAUUAAUGUUUAAAAGUUUAAGACUGUCUGCCUUGCCUACCUCAUUCAUGAGUUUGAG